rnacentral:lncRNA from 1 species
CUGGGGGGCCGCAGCAUACCGUCCUGGCUACUCGCCAUAUCCCUACUGGCAUCGGUGGCCACGGGCGUCGGUGUGGUCAGUCACUCUGCUCACCAGUACGCCUACGGCUUCCACUUCGCCUGGAACAUCGCCGCCAUGGCGCUGGCGACGCCAUGCAUCGUGUACUUCUUCUUGCCAGUUCUGUAUGCGUUGAAAGUGACGUCGGUGUUCGAGUACCUUCGAAUGCGCUUCGGAAACUCAGUGGGAAUCUCAGCAAGCUUGAUCUACUUCUUCUUCAGUCAAAUAUUGGGCGCAGUCAGCAUCUACAGCGCGG